rnacentral:rRNA from 1 species
AUCUGGAGAGGAUGCUUCUGGCGCGGCGCCUUCCGAGUUCCCUGGAACGGGACGCCGGAGAGGGUGAGAGCCCCGUACGGUUGGACGCCUAGCCUUUGUGAAGCUCCUUCGACGAGUCGAGUAGUUUGGGAAUGCUGCUCAAAAUGGGAGGUAAAUUUCUUCUAAAGCUAAAUACCGGCCAGAGACCGAUAGCGCACAAGUAGAGUGAUCGAAAGAUGAAAAGCACUUUGAAAAGAGGGUCAAACAGUACGUGAAAUUGUUGAAAGGGAAGCGCCCGUGGCCAGACUUGUGCCCCGCGGACCACCCGGCGCCCUCAGCGCCGGUGCACUCCGCGGGGCGCAGGCCAGCAUCGGUUUUCCUAGGGGGAUAAAGGCGGCGGGAACGUGGCUCCCUCGGGAGUGUUAUAGCCCGCCGCGCCAUGCCCCUGGGGGGACCGAGGACCGCGCUUCGGCAAGGAUGCUGGCGUAAUGGCCACCGGCGACCCGUCUUGAAACACGGACCAAGGAGUCAAGCAUUGGGGCGAGUGUCUGGGUGUUAAACCCGCACGCGAAAUGAAAGUAAACGCAGGUGAGAGCUUCGGCGCAUCAUCGACCGAUCCUGAUGUUCUCGGAUGGAUUUGAGUAAGAGCCUUACCGCUUGGACCCGAAAGAUGGUGAACUAUGCCUGUAUAGGGUGAAGCCAGAGGAAACUCUGGUGGAGG